UACGUAGGGUGCGAGCGUUUGUCCGGAAUUAUUGGGCGUAAAGAGCUCGUAGGCGGUGUGUCACGUCGGCCGUGAAAACCUGGGGCUUAACUCUGGGCGUGCGGUCGAUACGGGCAUCACUAGAGUUCGGCAGGGGAGACUGGAAUUCCUGGUGUAGCGGUGAAAUGCGCAGAUAUCAGGAGGAACACCGAUGGCGAAGGCAGGUCUCUGGGCCGAUACUGACGCUGAGGAGCGAAAGCGUGGGGAGCGAACAGG
rnacentral:rRNA from 1 species